rnacentral:rRNA from 2 species
UUAUUGGGCGUAANCGAGCGCAGGCGGUUUUUUAAGUCUGAUGUGAAAGCCUUCGGCUCAACCGAAGAAGUGCAUCGGAAACUGGGAAACUUGAGUGCAGAAGAGGACAGUGGAACUCCAUGUGUAGCGGUGAAAUGCGUAGAUAUAUGGAAGAACACCAGUGGCGAAGGCGGCUGUCUGGUCUGUAACUGACGCUGAGGCUCGAAAGUAUGGGUAGCAAACAGGAUUAGAUACCCUGGUAGUCCAUACCGUAAACGAUGAAUGCUAAGUGUUGGAGGGUUUCCGCCCUUCAGUGCUGCAGCUAACGCAUUAAGCAUUCCGCCUGGGGAGUACGGCCGCAAGGCUGAAACUCAAAGGAAUUGACGGGGGCCCGCACAAGCGGUGGAGCAUGUGGUUUAAUUCGAAGCUACGCGAAGAACCUUACCAGGUCUUGACAUACUAUGCAAAUCUAAGAGAUUAGACGUUCCCUUCGGGGACAUGGAUACAGGUGGUGCAUGGUUGUCGUCAGCUCGUGUCGUGAGAUGUUGGGUUAAGUCCCGCAACGAGCGCAACCCUUAUUAUCAGUUGCCAGCAUUAAGUUGGGCACUCUGGUGAGACUGCCGGUGACAAACCGGAGGAAGGUGGGGAUGACGUCAAAUCAUCAUGCCCCUUAUGACCUGGGCUACACACGUGCUACAAUGGAUGGUACAACGAGUUGCGAACUCGCGAGAGUAAGCUAAUCUCUUAAAGCCAUUCUCAGUUCGGAUUGUAGGCUGCAACUCGCCUACAUGAAGUCGGAAUCGCUAGUAAUCGCGGAUCANNAUGCCGCGGGUGAAUACGUUCCCGGG